AUGAAACCAAUGUUUGAUCCGAUAAAGUGUAUGAUCCUAUACUAGCUUAACUGUAAUUUGUUCAUUCUCUUUCUACCUUUUCUUUACACAUGAGUAACUGAUAAAUAUGUUUAGUCUUAUUAAAAGCUAGAAGAUCAAAUUAGAAAUAUUACUUGGGCAUUAAAAAUAUUGUUAGCUAGUGAGAUCUUAUGAAAUUAUUUUAUAUGUUUUUUAUGAAUUAACCUUUGGAUAUAUAGAGAUGUAUCAUUAGUUAGAUUAAAUUUAUGAAUUUUACUUGGGCAAAUUAUUUUUAUUAAAGAAUUUUAAAAUGAUUAAGAGAAAAAAUUUUGUUUUACUUUAAAGUUUUAUUUGAAGAUAAUAUAACAGUGUUACAUCUUAGUUUUGGGGUAUGACACCAUUAGUAGACAAGUCUUGACCAGAUUGGAUUACGUAUCAGCCAAUUUGUCAGGCAUUGCAACAGAUUUCAGGUAAUUGGAGAGUCUGCUAACAUGACAGGCUUGAGCUAGUUUAAUUUCUGCUUUUUGCUGUGAGAAAUAUUCCAAUUGAAGGAGGAAAGAUAGAUAAUUUGAUUAUGAACUGCGAAUCAUUUUUGUAGUAUAGUUAGACUCUGAAGUGAGGAGGUUAAGAUUACUCGCGAAACAUCCUUGAGAUGGAAACUUGGGAAGUGAGAGCAGCGACUCGUUUUGGUACUUUCAAAAAUAUGAUGCAUACUGAAGGAUGACAGAGUUAUCAUUCUUUCCUGCAUCAAUUUUGUCACGGUCCAAACUUAUUGUUCUGAAAAGCACUAGCCAAAGGCAAGACAUGGAUGCCGUGACUAUUCUCCUUUCCUACCAGGUCCUUAAGCGCCUUCUUCUUGAAAGUCCAGCUGCCAGUUCUCAGGUUGAAAUGGUAUAGAGGAAGAAAUCGUUGGCCAUAGAUGGCUACGAACUCCAACGCCGCAAGAAUGUAUUCAAACUCCUCAUUUGACAUGUAGUAAGGAAAGCUGACUCUUGUCCAUCCAGGUUUUGCUCCUAUGUAGCCCUGCAAUCAAACUUUGCAAUUGGCAUUAGAUAAGUUGAAUUAUAUUUUACUUCUCUUUCAUUUGGUCAAAAAAAAAAAAGGAAAAUUUUGUACUGAUACCCUUUUAAUAGCUUCUCUGAACGCAAGGGAUCGAGUCUGAUCAAUAUCAAGCAAACUGUGGCCAUAAGGUCCAGCACAAGCACACCCAUCUCGAUCUUGGAUGCCAAUCAGAUCAUUUAGGAUGGUUGCAACAAAAGGGCCAUGGAGAGGUUUAUCCCUCUUGUUCCCAGUCUCUCCCCACAUGAAAAGUCCCUUACCCUUUUCACCGCCCGUUCAACAUUGUUUAACCUCGUUGGUUGUGGAGUAGAUGAGGAAAAGACAUAUGGCUUGUCUCUGGGCUCGGUGCUUGAUUUCUAAACCCGUUAUGUUUUGGUUUGGAGAAAGCCUCAUCCAAUGCUUGAUUUAUGUCCAUACUUCUCCUGCUUUGGCAAUCACUCAUAACCAAUAUAUUCUUUUUACCCAAAAGUCAAUGCUGCUGCUAACAAUCUGAAUUAUUUGAGGAGUCCCUCCCAUUUUCCCCUUUCUUCUCAUGUCAUCUUACAUAUAUUGUGUCCUGCAAAAUACAUACCCCAUUUUACCACAUUUUAAAUUGCAUACCUGCUUCCCUAAAUGCUGGGGGAAUGAAUCUGAUAAUAUCAUGAUAACUUAUCAUUCUAUGUAGAAGUAUUUUUUAUGACACGUCGUGCCUUUAGGAAAUUUGGUUGGAAAAUCUCUUUUCUUCUUAAAAUUGUAAUUAAAAUAAAAAAAUUUUUUAGAGACACUUAUCAUUCACUAGUCUAUGUCUAAACCCGCUCCAUCUGAAUCAGGAAUUUAUUUCUAAACUCCAAAAAGCCUGACAGCUACCUAAUCAUUCUUUAUGUCGUCCAGUCGAAGAAAGAAACCAAAAUUUCUUACAAAAUGGGAUAUAUAAGCAAGAAUAAGAAAAAGGUAAAGAAAAUACAAAUUUCCAUUUUAUUGUAGAGAGGUGAACAAAAAAUAAAAUCUUUCAUCUAUUAAAUUGAAUUAAUCUGAACACAAAAAUAUAAUAAAAAUCUCUUCAUUUAUUAUCAAUUAAUUUUAAAUUUGAGUGUAAUUACCUGUUCAUUGAAGCCAUUGACAUAAUUAACAGUUCCACCUCCGCAAGUUGAUGGAGGAGAAGAUCCCAGCCGGUAGAGAGUCUUGCUCAUUAAAAGGAUGCCGGGCGUUCCAGGGCCACCUAGAAACUUAUGUGGGCUUAGGAAAAUGGCAUCAUAUCCAUCAAUCUCCCCUGACCUCAUAUCAAUCUCCACAUAAGGACCACUAUCCACAAAAACAAAAUGAUAAGCACUAUCAAAAAUCAACUUCUCAUUGCUUUAUAACAUUAACAUAAUACAUAAAACUUGGCUAAUAAUUAAUUGUGAGAUCUGUUAUUAAAAUAUUAAACUUUUAAUUUUAACAAUCAAAGAUUAAAUUCUGACAACCUCGAAUAUAAAAGCUUGACAACAAAAAAUGAAAAUUCUUACUGUGUACCUUGCUGCAGAAUCAAAGCAAACAAAACCUCCGUACUCAUGAAGAAGUUUGGCAAUCUCUCGAGUAUCUGUUUGAAUCCCAGUCACAUUACUACAAGCUGAAAAUGAGCCAAGCAAAGGCCUAUUGGCGUAUUUAUACAGCUCAACCUGUUUUCUUAGUGCUUCAAUGUCUAUGAACCCAUUCUCAUCUAAACCAAUCUCAACAACUUCAGCAAGGCUGUGACGCCAAGAAAGCAAGUUUGAGUGGUGCUCGUAAGGGCCAAUAAAAACUACCCAUCGAUACUCAUUCGGUAAGCAAUUUAUUACCAUGUCCCUCAAAAUUGAUGGUACCGUAAUCCCCAUAACUUCUUGUAGCCUUUUAAUAGCAGCCGUGUUGCCUGAGCCACAAAACAGAAUUGCAUCAUCUUGACCGCCUCCUAGGCUUCUUUUAAUGUAGUUUGACGCUUCAUGCACCAUUUUCGUCGUCCUGUGCCCCACGUAACAGUCAGACGUGUGAGUGUUACCUACGCACGAACCAACCAAGAUCAGCUGACAAAUACUAAAACCCUAAUAUAUAUAUAUAUAUAUAUAUUAUACUCGGAAAUGACGCCAUCACUUUUGUUAAUUAAAUCAGAGUAUCACAAUUGAAGAUCAGAAGAAAAAAAACCUUUACCGUAGAAUGGCAGAACAUUGGUGACGAUGAAGUUUUCGAUAUAGUGAAAAGAGCGACCCGAUGCAGUAUGAUCAGCAUAAGUAAGUUUUCUAGUUCCAAAAGGAGAGUCAAAUUCUGCAUCACCACCAGUGAUUUGAGAUCGUAGCCAAGACAGCUUUUUCUCGGUGGAGUCAACCUUUGGCACAUCCAUCUCUAGAGCCCUGAAUGAUUCCGAGCCAUGGAAGAGUUUGCUGGAAACAUAGGAACGGCAUGUUGAUCCUGGUGACUUAUGCCUGUCCCUGGUUGAAGUCUUACUAUCAUUUGCUGCCUUCAAUUUCAGGGCUUCCGUUGUUUCUCUAAACAUGGGUUGCUCAAACUCCAUUUCCCACCUGGAAACAAAGAUUAGUGCCUGUUUUUAUUGUUGUUGUCGCUUAUGACAGGAGAAAGAAUGGAAAAAGUAGUUGUAGAAGAAGAAAAAGAUAAGAAUGAGGGUAAGGAAGGCAGACUUCGUUAUUUAUAUCCUAUUAAAAUACAAAGUAACCUUUUGACACGGUUUCAUUUUUUUAAUUAAUAAAACAAAAAGACAAAGUUUUAGGCGUGAGGGGGGUUUGACUCCGAAACCAUGGCCUCUACACUCCAAUAAGAAAAAUAUUGCUGUCUCAGAAACAAUGGGAUCUCUAAAAAGGAUUGAAAAAAAAAAAAAAAAACCUACAGAAAAUAGUAAGCCUACGUUUGGAAUAUAUUAUUCCUUGGAGUGUAAGAAUUUCCAUAUUUCUCAUUCCUCUCCCUAAAAUUUGAUUAUGGAGUAUCAAAUAGCCCAAGCAAUUGUUAGAAAAACAUUGAACCUUUCCUGGUCUACUUGGUUUGGAACGUGAUGUAUCCAAUCUGCCGUAUUAAUAAGGAGAGCAUUGCUAUUUAGAGGUGUCAAUAAUAUACCCAUACUCACGAGUUAUUCAUUUUAUAAAUUAGAUUACUUAAUUGAUAAAAAGAAUGAGAAUUUUUGUAUCUCAUUAUAAUUUGCACGGAUAGUUAUGAUUUCAAAAGAGUAAAAUGUGUAAAGAAAGCAAAGAAUUUGAUUGCUUUUCAGAAACUUAAUAUGAUUUUGGCAAUAUGCAUGAUAAUUUUAUUAAUGAUUAUUCAUCAAUAAGUAACAUUUAUGAAUUAAAAUUAAAUUUUGAUUUAUUGAAAAAGUAUUAAAAAAAUCAGUUAAAAAAAAUAAAUGAAAGAAUGAAGAAACAAACAAACGGAUCAAAUAAAAAAAAAAUAAAAAGAGAACCAACACAAAAUAAAAGUAGUGAAAUAGAUCUUCAAACCAAUACUCCACCACACUCAAGGCUAUUCAUUUGUAUUUGUGAUGAAGUGGCAUAUUAAAAAUAAAUAAUUUAAUUUAAUUAAGAAUGAUUUAAGAUAAAUAAUAAAAAUUUGAUUACUAAUUGAUAUAAUUUUAACUAUAGAAGGUAAAUAAUACAUACUCUUUAAGGUAAUGUUGUUCUUUCCAAAAUAGUUAAAUAUAAAAAUAAGCCAUUUAUUAUGCAUUUCUUAUCAAUUUGGCACCAAAAAAAUAAAAUAUUUAGUUUGGCACUCUAAUUUUCUUUCUUUCAUCACUUUGUUAUCGGAAACUAGCGUCAUCAGUCAAUUUAUUGACGUGAUAUAAAUAUCUAAUAAGAUAUUAACACAUGCUGAGAAAAUCUAAUCAAUGUCAAAUCAUCAAUAUUACAUCCGAAUUUAAAGAAAAUUUAAAAAAAUUUAAAUAUUUUUUAAAAAAUAUUUAAGCAUUUUAAAAAUUAUUUUAAAAACAAAAACUAAAAUUUUAAAAAUUUUUAAAAAUUAUUAAAACUUAAAAAAUUAAAAAAAUCUCAAAAUUUUAUUAGAAAAAUAAAAAAAUUUUGAAAUUUUCAUAAAAAUGAUAAUUUUAGUAAACAUAAAGUUUUCAUAAAUUUAAAAAAAAAAUCUCUAAAGCUUAAAAAAUUGAAAGUAAAAGAUCUAAAAUUUUUUGAAAAUAUCUAAAAAUUUUAAAAUAAUUGUAAUUCUUAUAAAUUAGGAAAAUUCUUCAUUUUUUUAAUCUUACAAUUUUAAUUUUCUUAUAUAUUUUGUGAUUUUUUACAUUUUUUUAAAUGUUUAUGGAUUUUUAUUAAAAUUUUAAGUUUUUUAUUUUAUAUUUUUCAAAAAAUUUAAUUUUUAGUAAAUUUCUUAGAAUAUUUCAUAUUUUUGAAAUUUUUUUAAUUUUUUCAAAAUUUUUGAAAAUAUUUUAUAAAAUUUUAGAUUUUAAUAAAAAUUAGAUUUUUUGUAAUUUUCAAAUUUUGUCAAAAAAUUCUAGAUUUUUUAGUUUUUGUGAACCUAUUUUUUUUAAUUUUUUAGAAUAUUUUGGAUUUUUUUUGGAUUUUUUGUCAAAAUUUGAGAUUUUAUGAAUUUUUUAAAGUUUUGAUAUUUUUUUAAAUUUUAUGUUCAAAUAAGAUUUCAUAUUUAUUUAAUUUUUCUAAUUUUAAAAAUAUUUUAGCUUUUAAAUUUUGUUGAAUUUUUUUACUAUUGAUGUGGUAAUUGAUGAUGUGGCACUACUAAACUUUUUGAUACAUGUCAGUAUCUUAUUAGAUGUUAAUGCCAUGUUGACAAAUUGAGUAAUUGCUUUAGUACGAGGUAUCAAAGUAAAUGGCGAAAUGAAAGUUAAAGAACCAAAUUGAUAAUUUUGUUUCUUAAAGUACUAAACUGACAGAAAGUGUAUAGUACAUGAAAUAUUUUUAUAUUUAACUUUUCCAAUCAUGAAAAAACCUAAAAGAGACUUGAAAUUGUUAUACAUGUAAUCGAUAAUCAUUCCUUAGUGUUGACCUUUAGAGUUCAAAGGAUGUCUCAUACCCAAAUAAUUUUUGGGUUUUUCCUACAUGUAAUAAUAAUAUUAAUUACCAAAUUACUGCUUAAUUUGAAAAAAAAAUGACAUUAAUAUAAAGAUAAAUGUACAUAAAAGAGAAGUUCUUUGUCCUUAGCUCUUUCCCUAAACAGUUGGAUCUCUAGCUCUACCUGUAAAUCAUUUAACGAAACACAAAUCAAUUGAUUACGUCACAACAUAUAAGUGAUUUAGUUACAAAUUAUGAUUCUUCUCAAACAAUAAAAUGAUGGGUGAUUGUGAUUGGAAUGAAACAAUAAAAAAUUUUCAUCGAUGCCUUUCGUUGCUGUUUCAGACACAGACUUGGCAAUGGUAAUGAUAAAAUGAUUAGUGACUGUGGCCAUGAUUAAAUUUUUAAAAUAAUCUAAUGAUAAGAGAAUAAUAUGCAACAUAUCUUUCAAAUUUGAAAUAGUAAAAAACAAAUCUAAUCAAUUUUAAUCCAAAUAUACAUUUAAUAUUUUUGGUCAAUAUAUUCUUGAAAAAUGAUUAAAUUAAAAAAAAAAAGAAAAAUUCUAGAAUUGACAUUUAUGAAUUCAAGAUUUAUACAAAAUUUUUCAUAUUUGAUAGGUUUUCAUUUUGAAUUUAAAUAAUUUAUCAAAUAGAAUUACUUUAUAAACCCAUUUUAGAGAUAAUAUAUUAUUACAAUUGAGAUUUUUAUAUUUAAAAAAUAUGUUUAUAUUAUUAGGAAAUUUAUUUUUAAUAAAAAUAUAUCUAAAUUAGAUUUUAUUGUUAACAAUUUUAAAAUUAUCCAUGUAGAUAUCCAUAUAAGUUAAUUUUUUGUGGUAAAUUCCUAUGUGUCAAAAAAUGAUAUAUAUAUAUAUAUAGGCAUUUACAUAUCCCAUAAUACUUACAUCUAAAAUUUGAAAGUUUUCGAUAACUAAAUUUUUUUAAAUAUAUUAUUUCUUGAUAAAUAGCCUAAAAUUAAGAAAUGUCUUAUAUGUCGUUAUAGAGAAAUUUUAAGAAUUUUAUCACAUGUCGAAAAGAAAAACCAUCAAUGUAAGCAAACCUUAUCAUGUAACAAUGUAUCCUGUAAUAUAAUAUAUAUUAUAUUUUUUUAAAAGAUUAUUAGUUAUCCAAGUGAUAAAAAUAGUCAUACUUGACACAGACCCCAAGUCUUAAGAUUUCACAAUGUAUAUAAUAAACUUUAAUUUUCCAUGUGUACAUAUACUAACAAAGUAAAAUAACAACAUAAAAUGUCAACCAAUGAUUCUCAUCAUUCAAGCAUAGAUUUAAAUAUCACAUAGAUAUUCCAAGCAUAAAGGGAAAGGUCCAACAUAGAGACAAACCAUAAUGUGUGAGUAUAAAAGACAAAUGAUAUACUCUUAAUAAUAAAUUACAUCAAAAGACCCUAAAAUACCUAUGUUCUCAAUAUGUUUACCAAAUACUAUAGGUCUUAUUCCUGUAGUCCAAGGAUCAACAAUCACGUUGUUAGUCUGAAUGUGUUUGACAACAAUAUUAUAAUUUUUCAUAAAAUCCCUAACUUUAAAAUAUAUUAUCUCCAAAUGUUUAAACCACUAAUGCUCUUGUUGUUCUUAGAAAACAACAUAGUUGACCUAUUAUCCCAAUAAAUCUUUAAAGGUCUGGAGAUGGAAUUAAUAAUACAAAGGCCUGACAUAAAAUUCAUAAGCCAAAUUGCCUAUGUAGUAGCUCUAUCGCAUGCAACAAACUCAACUUGCAUAAUGGAAAAAAAUAAGAGUGUUUGUUUCACAUAUUUCCAAGACAAAGCUCCUACAUCGACAUAAAAAAAUACCUUGAAGUGGACUCCAUGUCAUCCUAACAACUAGUGAAGUUAGAAUUUAUAUACCCUAUUAUCUGAAGAUUGUCCAUUUUUUUGUAUACCAACGUAUGGUUUUUUUGUCUUUUGCAAGUACCUAAUCACCUUCUUAACAGCAACCUAGUGAUUCAUACUAGGAUUUGAAAGAUAUCUCUCAAGAACUCACUCUGCAAAAGCAAUAUCUAGCCUAGUACAAACUUGAGCAUACAUGAGACUCCCAACUGCACUAGAAUAUGGUAUGUUCAUCAUGGAUUCUUUCUCCAAAUCAUUCUUUGGGCAUUGACUAAGAUUAAGUUUAUCACCUUUAACAAUGAGUGCAUUCCUAGCCUUACAACUUUGUAUGUUAAAUUUAUUAAGCGCAUGAUUAAUGUAAGACCUUUGCAAUAGUCCCAACAAAUUUUGAGAUCUAUCUCUAUGAAUUUCAAUCCCAAGAACAAAGGAAGCAUUCCUAAGGUUUUUAUAUCAAAAGUCUUGGAGAAUAGCUACUUAAUUUCAUGUAACAAACCAAUAUCAUUACAAGCCACUAAGUGUCAUCCACAUAUAACACAAGAAAGAUAUAUUUACUCCCCCUAAUUUUAAGGUGUAUGUAUUGAUCAACUUUAUUUUCCUCAAAACCAAGGGAAGUAACUAUCUGAUCAAAUUUUAGAUACCUUUACUUAGAAGCUUAUUUAAGGGCAUAGAUUGACGUUUUAAGUCAACUUACUAAAUGUUCCUUUUCAGAUUCUUGAAAUCUUUUUGGUUGCAUAAUGUAAACCUUUUCUCUAAAAUCACAAUUGAGAAAAGCCGUCUUUACAUCCAUCUAAUAAAGCUUCAAGUUAAAGUGUACUACCAAGGCCAUAACAAUCCUAAAGAAAUUUUUGGAAGACACUGGUAAAAACAUUUUGUUAUAAUCUACUCUUUCCCUCUAAAUAAAUCACUUUGCCACCAAUGUAACUUUAAAUAUCUCAAAUUUUUCUUUAGACCCUUUCUUGGUUUUAUACACCUAUUUACAACCAAUGGAUUUAUACUCUUUUGGCUGUUUAACAAGCUCCUAAGCACCAUUUUGAGCCAUAAAAUUUAUCUCAUUUUUUAUUGCAUCCAUCCAUACAUUAAAUUACAAAUGCUAAUAGUUUCACCAAAAGUCACAAGGUUAACAACAUGACUAAUGUCAUAGUCACUCUCUCAAUGAUAAAUUACAUAAUCAUUAGAGAUGUCGGAUCUUCUUUGUUUAAAAGAUCUCCUAAAAGGUAUUUCAAUAUCAUUCUUUCAAACUUGAAGUACAUCAGUAGGAUGAAGGUUUAUGUCCUAUUGCCUUGAUCUCUUCUUUCAAUGGCCACUAGCAUAAUAUGGCACUGUAUUAUAGGUAAAGUUAUGAAGAUAUGUCUAACAGAUUCACGGUUAUCCACAGCCUCUAUCACACUCUUAUCAACAACAUGUAGUUUAAGAAACUUUGCCACAUGUGACUCUACAAACUUAGUUCCACGUAUAGGACAAUAAAACUUAUAUCCCUUGAAACGAUCUAGAUACUCUAAAGAAAAGCAAUGAGUACUCCUAGGUUCAAUCUUUUUCUCAAAAGGUUAUAGAUUCUAACUUCUGCAAGAAAUCCACAAACUUUAAAAUGAUUCAAUUGGGGUUUCAUACCAAUCUACAAUUCAGAAGUUGUUUUAGGAACAAAUUUACUAGGUACUUUAUUAAGUAUAUACAAGACGGUUUUAAUACCUUCACCUCAAAAGGACUUAAGAAGAUUGGUCCUACAUAUAAGCUCUUUAUCAUACCCUUAAGGGUGUGAUUUUGCCUUUCGACCACACCAUUAUGUUCAAGACUACCAAGCAUAGCAUAUCAAGAAAAAUCUGACAUUCUUGUAAGUAUUUAGAAAAUGGUCUCAUAUGUUAUCUAAUUUCGCCAUAUCUACCAUCAUACUCACCACCUUGGAGCUAAUGACUUUGAUAACUUUCCCUAAUUCUUUCUCUACCUCAGUUUAAAAAUUUUAAAUUUUUAAAAGCAUUUCAAUUUUCAUCAAUUAGGUCAAGAUACCCAUAGCGAAAAUAGUCAUAAAUAAAAGUAACAAAAUAUAUGUUACCACAAAAGAUAGAUAUAAGAGGUCCACUAUUAUUAGUGUACAUAAUUUUCAAAAGGUCAAAAUUGCAAAUUGCAUCAUUUUUCUUAGUCGUAGUUAGUAUAUAUUUUAUACAAUCAACACAAGUGUCUAACUUUUCAAAACCAAGGGAAGGUAAAGUACUAUUUUUUUAUCAAUUUUUGCACUUUUUCACUAGAAAUGUGACCCAACUUUUUACGCCACAACAAAAAAGACUUUUCUUUAGUUAGAGAUUUUUAAGAUACUGUCUUUUCCACAUUAUUGCAACUAUAUUAAUUAUCAUAUGCCAAGCACGGUUUGUAUAAAUUGUCAAUUAGUUUAAAUUCAUCAAUAAUGAAUUCUCUUUAGUCAAAGAUUUUUUAGUCACUAUUUUUUCAACAUUAUUGCAACUAUAUUAAUUAUUGUAGGCUAAGUUUAUAUAAAUUGUCAAUUAGUUUAAAUUCACCAACAACAUUUGAAUUUUAAAACAAGUCAACUUUUUCAUAUCCAAUGCCAAAAUAAUAACCAUGUUUGUCCAAAAUAAAAACUAAAAUGAAAUUCCUCUGAAAUGAAGGUGUAUGAAAAACAUUUUGCAAAAUAAGCUCAAAGUCAGAUUCUAAAUUUAAGCCUAUUGUUCCUACAUAAUUAAUGGCUACUUCAGUAUUGUUUCAAACUCUAUGUGUUGCCUUUUUCUCACUUAGCUUUCAUUUGUUUUUGAAUCCUAGCAAAGGUAACAACAAUAUGAAUAGUUAAACCACUAUCAACCUACUAGGAAUUUGGUAAGCCACUGACAAAUUAGGAUAUAAAACAAACGACAGCUAGUGAGUUCCCUUCUUAUUUAUUUUUUUUCUUUAACCAAGCUUGAUAUUUAGGGUAUUCAUGUUUCAUAUGACAUUUUUUUUAUAGGAAAAACACUUGAUAUCUUUCUUAAUGAUAGCUUUAAGCCCUCUUACCUUUGUAGUCUGACCACUACCUUAUCCCUUGUUUUCUUGAUCUUUCUUGUGAGCAUUAGGAACAAAUUUCCUAGAUUUCUCAUAAUUUUUUUUGUAAUUAUAUUUGGAGUAUGUAGCAAAAAAAAACACUUUCACCCAUUUCUUUCUACAGUUUUUCUUCCUUAGAGACAAACUUUUAAAUAAGAUCAUUAACACUUCAAAACCUCAUUCAUAGCAUUAUAGACAGUUUUGAUCUGAGUGAACUCCAAAAGUAAGGCAUUGAGGGCGUGAUGAACAAUGAAUUUAUCAAGAAUGUCAAUUUCAUGAGAAGUCAAUUUGGUUUGAAUGUGGACCAUUCUCAUGAUGAAAUCUCUAGCACUCUUAACACUAUCAUACCUUACUACUUGUAAGCUCACUCAUAAGGUUCUUAGCUUUACACUAUAAUGGAUUUUUGGUAAUUUAUUGCCUUCAGCAGGUAAAGAUCCCUUAAGCAAUUUUUGUGGUAUCCAACUCACUCAAAAGGUAUUCAAAAAUAGAAAUAUUAAUGACAUAUAGACGUAUAUGAUUUGUCUUUUCCCAUUUGGGAAAAUAUUCCUUUUCUUUAGCAAUGCUUUCAUUAGUAAAAUUAGCAGGCUUUGAAAAAUGUAAGGCUACGUCUAUCUCAUUUAUAACUAAAGCAAAAUUCAAAUCUUCAUUCCAUUUUUUAUAAUUAGACCCAUGAAGAACUUUAAUAGUUGCUUAUUGUUAUUGAUAAUAAAAGUCAACAUUCAAGAUAAAAAUGCAACAUUAGUAAAUGGCAAUAUCAUAAAAUAUAUAGCAACAGUUCAUGAUGUACUAACAAUUAUUGAAAGGUCUUGGUACAUCACCACAAACUCUUUUUUGGAUAAAGAAUGUAAUAUACGAGUGGGAACUUUUCGGAUAACGCUAAUAUGAAAAUGUGCUAGCUUUUAAAAAUUAUAUCCCCUUCGGACAGAUAGAUUUUCUAGAUUGGUAAAACUUCAACCAUGAUGAUUUAUAUUCCAAAACAAAUUACCUUAUACAUUAACCCCCUUUAGGCAGUCAAUUGCAUAAAAUAAUUUAAUAACCAUCCCGUAACCAUAGAAUGAUAAAAUAUUACAUUAAUUUCAAUAAGUGAGCCAUUUUGACAACCAAAUAUUGAUAUCAAUUAAUGAAGAUUUUUUCAAAUAAAAAAAUUUCAUUAAUUGCUCAAAACUCUCAGUUUACAAACUCAACCAUAAUGUGUGCAAUGGACUAUCCCAACUAAGAAACUAACCCUAAAUGUAUCUAAUUAGGUAUUAUAAGCAGUGUACAUUAAAUUUAAACUAGUGUCUUGAAUUUUUUUUAAAAUCAAUUUGUAAUUACUAAAUCAACUACGCACUUAAGAGCACAUAAAUAUCAAGGCCUAUUUAGGAAGAAUACCUAUUAUCAUUAGACUCUCAUCAUACCAAAAUAUCACAAAAUAAAAUAAUAAAUAAUAUGUAUAACAUAUAGUAAUUUCUGAGCAAUGCAUGAAUAUCAAACAAAUAUUUCAUGCAGUUUAAAAAUUUUAAAAAAAAUUAGAAAUAAAAUUCCAAGUUUGCCAAAACUAACUAAAGAAAAAAUGGUGCUAGACGAGACGACACGUGCCCCAUGUGCCACCCACCAUGCAUGGAUUUUGUUCAACAUGGGGAAUGGUUUUUUUUAACCUCUAAAUGAGUUGACUCAAUGCGACUGGAAUAAUUCUUUACCUAUUCUAGUCUGUUCGUAUUUUUCCACCAUUUUUUAUGCAUUUUCUUGGUAAUUUCAACAAAUUGAAGCGCCCAAAAAUAAAACAAAUUUUCUAUCAAACCCUUGAUAAAAAAGUAUAAAACAAUGACAAAAAUAAGAUCAAUUGGUUAAAAUUUUUCAAAUUACAUAAAUAUAUAUUAGACCGCUUUUUGUUUUUUUUGUGUUUGGCUAAUCUAAAACAAUAUGAAAUAAAAACGCUUUGAUUUAACUUUAUAACACAUGAGAAACAUGAUUCCAGAAUCAAUUUUUAAUUAAACACAUAAAAUGUUUGAUGUUUUAAUCAAAACAAGAAUUUAGAUUAAAACCUAAACCCAAAAAUUCUCAACCUUGAUUUCUCUUUCGAUAUAAGGAAUUAGAAAAUGAUCAUUAUAUAAUUUUAAUCUUUUUUUAGAGAGGAACUAAAAUCUUAAAUCAAUUUCAAAAAAUAAAGAUCAAAAUUUAAAAUUUUGACAAUAAUAUAAUUUCACACUAAAUAUGUUGUUUGUUCAAAAAUCAAUUACAAAUCAUGAUUUUAGGGGCCAAAUAUCACAUAAUGAUAGCUCUGAUACCACACGUAAACAUUAACCCAAGUUCAUUGUUUGAUAAUUAGAACAUCGUAAAUAAAUAAAGAGCUUUGUCAUACUUAUUUGGGUGGUCAUGACGAAUAUAUGAAGCAAAACAAUACUUAAAGUGCCUAGGUCUUCCUCUUCACUAUUCUCUUAUUAGUGACACUCAAUGAGCAGUAACUGUAACUCGUAUAAAAGUAAAAAAGAAAAGGUUAUCUGAACCUAUUUUUAUUGAAAACCCUUAAAGCCUCCUCAUCAAACACUUAGUAGACUAAAGGUCUACAAAACCUCUAAACCAGAUUGAUCUAGUAAGCUAUGUAAGUCUUACAUUUAAGUGAUCACAUUAAAUUAUUUAAACUCUCAAGCUUAUCUCGUAUUAAGAGUAAACACAUCAAUCAAUUUUAUUAAAUUAUUAAAACCAACUAUUAAUGGUAGCCCACUUAUGAACAAUUCUUGCUCUAUAUCCUAAUAAGACAUCAACAGAGAGUUUAUAAAGUAAAGAUGAAGACUAUAUAAAGAGCAAUGGUGGUGGAAAGAUUAUUUUCUAAAUAAAAAUUUGGAUGUUGAAGCGGUCUUCAUAAAAGAUGACUCUCUAUGUUAAAGUGGUUCCACUAAAAUAGUAUACUAAGGUCAUAUUUGAUACAUAUGAUUAUUAACAGAAUAUGAAGAAUAUUUGUAAGGUUUGCAAUGAGGAUUAAUAUCCUCUUGGUAUAGGAUUAUUCAACCCUCUCAAAGUAAAGAGGAUAAUUUUUAAAUUUAUAGAUUAAACUUGCAGGUUCAAUUAUACCCUUAAAAAUUACUUUAAUAAUUUAAAUUGUAUAAACUUUGAAUAAGGAUAAUUUUGACAAAUAAAUAAAUUAUCCUAUCCUAAUCUUUACAUAUAGCAAACACAAAAUAAGAUGACAUUAUUUAAUCUAAUUCUAUUUAUAAUAUCAUUGUACCCUAUCAAGUUAUAAUCUUAUGUACUAAACAUGGCAUAAGAUUAUUAUAUCUAUGUAUAUUGAUAUUAUUUGUUAUUUUAUAACUAAGCUUUUGCGAUUCACAUAUUGUGAGGGGUUUCUAUGAUAACUUUUUAAAAGGCUAUUUGGCAUGAUUGCAAAUACAUGACAUCAUACAUGCUAAUAAAGGAUUAGGAUAGAGCGGUAUAUUCGAAUUCACCCAUAAGGUACUGUGUGAAUUGAAUUCCUNNNNNNNNNNNNNNNNNNNNNNNNNNNNNNNNNNNNNNNNNNNNNNNNNNNNNNNNNNNNNNNNNNNNNNNNNNNNNNNNNNNNNNNNNNNNNNNNNNNNNNNNNNNNNNNNNNNNNNNNNNNNNNNNNNNNNNNNNNNNNNNNNNNNNNNNNNNNNNNNNNNNNNNNNNNNNNNNNNNNNNNNNNNNNNNNNNNNNNNNNNNNNNNNNNNNNNNNNNNNNNNNNNNNNNNNNNNNNNNNNNNNNNNNNNNNNNNNNNNNNNNNNNNNNNNNNNNNNNNNNNNNNNNNNNNNNNNNNNNNNNNNNNNNNNNNNNNNNNNNNNNNNNNNNNNNNNNNNNNNNNNNNNNNNNNNNNNNNNNNNNNNNNNNNNNNNNNNNNNNNNNNNNNNNNNNNNNNNNNNNNNNNNNNNNNNNNNNNNNNNNNNNNNNNNNNNNNNNNNNNNNNNNNNNNNNNNNNNNNNNNNNNNNNNNNNNNNNNNNNNNNNNNNNNNNNNNNNNNNNNNNNNNNNNNNNNNNNNNNNNNNNNNNNNNNNNNNNNNNNNNNNNNNNNNNNNNNNNNNNNNNNNNNNNNNNNNNNNNNNNNNNNNNNNNNNNNNNNNNNNNNNNNNNNNNNNNNNNNNNNNNNNNNNNNNNNNNNNNNNNNNNNNNNNNNNNNNNNNNNNNNNNNNNNNNNNNNNNNNNNNNNNNNNNNNNNNNNNNNNNNNNNNNNNNNNNNNNNNNNNNNNNNNNNNNNNNNNNNNNNNNNNNNNNNNNNNNNNNNNNNNNNNNNNNNNNNNNNNNNNNNNNNNNNNNNNNNNNNNNNNNNNNNNNNNNNNNNNNNNNNNNNNNNNNNNNNNNNNNNNNNNNNNNNNNNNNNNNNNNNNNNNNNNNNNNNNNNNNNNNNNNNNNNNNNNNNNNNNNNNNNNNNNNNNNNNNNNNNNNNNNNNNNNNNNNNNNNNNNNNNNNNNNNNNNNNNNNNNNNNNNNNNNNNNNNNNNNNNNNNNNNNNNNNNNNNNNNNNNNGUUUACAAACUCAACCAUAAUGUGUGCAAUGGAUUAUCCAACUAAGAAACUAAGCCUAAAUGUAUCUAAUUAGGUCUUAUAAGCAGUGUACAUUACAUUUAAACUAGUGUCUUGAAUUUUUUUUAAAAUCAAUUUUUAAUUACUAAAUCAACUACGCAUUUAAAAGCAUAUAAAUAUCAAGGCCUAUUUAGGAAGAAUACCUACUAUCAUUAGACUCUCAUCAUACUAAAAUAUUUUAUCACAAAAUAAAAUAAUAAAAUAAUAUGUAUAACAUAUAGUAAUUACUAAGCAAUACAUGAAUGUUAAACAAAUAUUUUCAUGCAGUUUAAAAAUUUUACAAAAAAUUAGAAAUAAAAUUCCAAGUUUGCCAAAAGAAACUAUAGCAAAAAUGGUGCUAGACAAGCCCGCACGUGCCACAUGUGCCACCCACCAUGCAUGGAUUUUGUUCAAGAAAGGGAAUGGUUUUCUUUAACCUCUAAAUGAGUUGACUCAAUGCGACUGAAACAAUUCUUUACCUAUUCUAGUCUGUUCGUAUUUUUCCACCAUUUUUUAUGCAUUUUUUUCAGUAAUUUCAACAAAUUGAAAUGCCCAAAAAUAAAACAAUUUUUAUAUCAAAACCUUGAUAAAAAAUUAUAAAAAAAUGACAAAAAUAAGAUCAAUUGGUUAAAAUUUUUCAAAUUACAUAAACAUAUAUUAGACCCUUUUUGUUUUCUUCGUGUUUGGCCAAUCUAAAACAAUAUGAAAUUAAAUGCUUUGAUUUAACUUUAUAACACAUGAGAAACAUGAUUCAAGAAUCAAUUUUCAAUUAAACACAUAAAAUGUUUGAUGUUUUAAUCAAAACAAGAAUUUAGAUUAAAACUUAAACCUAAAAAUUUUCAACCUUGAUUUCUCUAUCGAUAUAAGGAAUUAGAAAAUGAUCUUUAUACAAUUUUAAUCCUUUUUAGAGAGGAACUAAAAUCCUAAAUCAAUUUCGAAAAAUAAAGAUCAAAAUUUAACAUUUUGAAAACAACAUAAUUUCACACUAAAUAUGUUGUUUGUUCAAAAAUCAAUUACAAAUCAGGAUUUUAGGGGCCUAAUAUCACAUAAUGAUAGCUCUGAUACCACACGUAAACAUUAACCCAAGUUCAUUGUUUGAUAAUUGGAACAUCGUAAACAAAUAAAGAGAUUUGUCAUACUUAUUUUGGUGGUCAUGACGAAUAUAUCGAAGCGAAAUAAUACUUAAAGUGCCUAGGUCUUCCGCUUCACUCUUCUCUUAUUGGAGACACUCAAUAAGCAGUAACCGUAACUCGUAUAAAGUAAAAAAAAAAAAAAGGUUAUCUGAACCUAUUUUAAUUGAAAACCCUUGAAGCCUCCUCAUCAAACACUUACUAGACUAAAGGUCUACCAAACCUCCAAACCAGAUUGAUCUAGUAAGAUGUGUAAGUCUUACAUUUAAGUGAUCACAUUAAAUUAUUUAAACUCUCAUGCUUAUCUUGUAUUAAGAGUAAACACAUCAACCAAUUUUAUUAAAUUAUUAAAACUAACUAUUAAUGGCAGCCCACUUAUAAAUUAUUCUCGCUCUAUAUCCUAAUAAGACAUCAACGGGGAGUGUAUAAAGCAAAAAUGAAGACUAUAUAAAGAGCAAUGGUGGUGGAAAGAUUGUUUUAUAAACAAAAAUUUGGAUGUUGAAGCGGUCUUCAUAAGAGACGACUUUCUGUGUUAGAGUGGUUCCAUUAAAAUAGUAUACUAAGGUCAUAUUUGAUACAUAUAAUUAUUAAUAGAAUAUGAAGAAUAUUCGUAAGGUUUGCAAUGAGGAUUAAUAUCCUCUUAGUAUAGGAUUAUUCAAUCAUCUCAAAGUAGAAAGGAUAAUUUUUAAAUUUAUAGAUUAAACUUAUAGGUUCAAUUAUACCCUUAAAAAUUAUUUUAAUAAUUUAAAUUGUAUAAACUUUGAAUAAGGAUAAUUUUGACAAAUAAAUAAAUUAUCCUAUCAUAAUCUUUACAUAUAGCAAACACAAAAUAAGAUGACAUUAUUUAAUCUAAUUUUAUUUAUAAUAUCAUUGUACCCUAUCAAGUUAUAAUCUUAUGUACCAAACAUGGCAUAAGAUUAUUAUAUCUAUGUAUAUUGAUGUUAUUUGUUAUUUUAUAACUAAGCUUUUGCGAUUCACAUAUUGUGAGGGGUUUCUGUGACAACUUUUUGAAAGGCUCUUUGGUGUGAUUGCAUAUACAUGACAUCAUACAUGCUAAUAAAGGAUUAGGAUAGAGCGGUAUAUUCGAAUUCACCCAUAAGGUACUGUGUGAAUUGAAUUCCUCAAUUCUUUUUAUUCAUGACCUAGAUUGGUGUAUUAUAUUACAGAAUGGUGGUGUAUCACAAUGAUUUUAUGUUGUUGUACAGCAAUUAUUGUUCAUUUCUUCAAACAUCAGUAAAUAAGAUUGAAGAACAGGUGCAUUGUCCUAAAACCAAAUGAACUUGAGUAAAAACCAUCAGCUCUAGGGAUUUUCGAAGAACUUGGAUAUCAUUUUGUUUAUUGAGAACCAAAUGAUGGAAAGAAAUAGGAAAGUAGUAUCGAAAUUAGGAAUAACCUUUAGUUUACAAUAGAUAAGUUGGUUGAUUUUGUCUGUGUACACUCGGGUAUACUAUUUUUUAUUUAUGUUAAUGAGCCUCACACAAAUCUUCAAUUUGGCUGACUUUAGGACUGAUAUUAGGUUCUGGAAGUCUAGAAUGCCUACUGAAUAUAUAGGGUGAAGAAAUCUAAAUAUUCAAUACUGAAAUUAUUUUAUACCUUGAUCUUAGCAUAUGAUAUUGGAAGUAGUUUACUAAAAUUGGGUAAGUUAUAUUGAGACAUUGAUAUUUCAAUUGGCUAUAUGUUAUACCUUUUUCAUAUUUUUUUAUCCUAAAGAUUGAAGGAAAAAUUCUAUUUUUAGAUGAGAUGUUAUGAUUUGCAAGAGUGAAUUAAAAUGGAAUUUGUAUUAAUGGAUAAAUUAUUACUUUAAGUAUUAUAUAUUGUUGGAAAGCUUGUUGAAUUUACUUUACAAUGAAAUAAACGUAAGUCGAAUCAAAGUUUUCUAUUAAGAGUUGUGUAAUUUUUAUUUAAUGAUAUGUAGACUGCCUGACAACGGUAGCAAUGAGGAAUUACAAAAUUUCUCUGAAUUUUUAUACAAUGAAUUACGAAUUGAGCCAUACAUGUUUAAAAAGGUUAUUGAGUUUAUAUUCCAAUGAAACAAGCAGAAUUGAAUUUGGAGUCUUUUAUGAAUAAAGAUAUCAUUUUGAUUACAAUACAUACAUGUUGUCUGGUAGUAGCAUAUGAUAUGGAUUGCAAAAAUUAUUACAAUUAAUCUACAAUAAAUUAUGAGGUGGGCCAUAUAUGUUGUCAUAACAUCUAGAUCCAGAGAUCCAUUGCUAGAUAUUAUUUUUAAGAGUCGUCACCAAUCUUUUUUAUCUAGGUGCGAUUGGUCACCUAGAGAAUUUAUCCUUUUAAAGAACACCUAAGCCUAAGGGUCCCUAAAAGAAUAGUUUUAGGUCUACUAAUCGGUACAGGGUUCGAGAGUACAGUUACGUGUGAGGAAGGUUAUAGCACCUUCACAACGCCCAUCUAAAGAUGGUACCAGCUUAAUUUUAUGUUAUCCAAUAAGCUUUAAAAAUUUACCAAGUAAUUAAUUAUUAGAAAUUAUUCUUAAUUGACUCUAAUACUUUUAGUAGAAAAUUGAAAAAAUUCCCUCACCUAAAGAGUAUGCAAGGAAACUACUGUUUCACUUGCAGAGGCUCUAUCGUCGGAUUAUUUAACAUUAAAGAAAAUUCAAAAAAAAAAAGAAAUAAAAUGAGAAAAAAAAGAAUAACAAUUCAACUUUAGAUAUAAAUCCUUUUCUCUUAAAAAACUCAUUGCUUUUGUACAAAAAAAUUGAUACUUUUAAAUUUUCCUCAAAAGCAUUUGAGAGUUUCUAUUUUUAAAAAAAUUGAUACUUUCAACUUUUUCUUAAAACGUUUUUUUUAAGAAAAAUUGAUACUUUCAACUUUUCCUCAAAAUGUUUUUCAGAAACUUUAAUUUCGAGGAAAAUUGAUAUUUUUAACUUUUUCUCAAAAAUAUUUUUUUUAAUUUAUUUUUAAGGAAAAUUAAUACUUUUACCUUUUCCUUUAAAAUAUUUUUUAGAAAAUUAUUUUCAAGGAAAAUUGAUACUUUCAACUUUUCCGUGAAAAUAUUUUUUAAAAAAUUUAUUUUUAAGAAAAAUUGAUACUUUCAACUUUUCCUCAAAAAUAUUUUUUUAGAAUUUUAUUUUAAGAAAAUCAUUAAAAAUAAAAUAAAAUAAAAAUCAGAAUAAAAAUAAAAUAAGGAAUACCAAAUUAUUCUAAUCUAAUCAAUAAAUAAUAAUAAUAAUAAUAAUAAUAAUAUAAUAAUAAUAACAAUAAUAAUAAUACUAAUAAAAGAAAUAAUAAUAAUAAUAAAUAAGAAAAAAAACUUUUGGAAUGGCUCGGCUCGGCUUAAGAGAUAAAAGUGAUUUAAACGUGAGGCUCAGCUGGAAACAGCUCGGUUCGGCUGGGGUCCAGGCAGAGACGUGGGUCGCUAAUCAGGUUGGUGCUCGGGUUGAGUCAUCCAAUUUCAAAACACGUGGAUCUUUUAAGAAUAGUAAGGCUAAAACGACAUCGUUUUCAGUCGGUAUAAAAGGCUUCUACUUCUGUUUCUUCGUAGAUUGUUUCCUUUCUCCUCUCUCUCUUCUUUUUUUUUCUCUUCCUUCUCUCUAAAUAGAAUCUAGAUUUCGGUUGAAUGUCUAUCGAAAUCUGGAAAAACAGGUCAAAAACUUUAAAGUUGGCCCAAAAUCUCGCCAAAAAAGUUGAAUCUUACCGAAAAAUUUCACCCGAUUCUGAAAAGUUUUAGAAAAUUUCAAAAAAAAAACUCAAAAAUUCUAAAAACUUUUUCGCAAAUUCCUAACGUUGUUUCUAACGCACCAGAACUUUUUUUAACCUCUGUUUCCCCUUUAUGUAUUUUUCGAUCUUUUUAUGUGCUCUCUGUGGACCUAUUUAUAAGGAUUGAUCAGAAGAGUUUCUGAUCAAUCCCAACGCCUUUUGGGAUUUUGAUUCAAUCUUUGAAUCCAAUCCCAAUUCUGCCAACCUCCAAUUUCAUGACCAAAUCCAAUUUUUUUUUAUCCUAAUCCUAGCAGAAAAUCAAUCAAGAUAAAAUAAAAAAAACACAUAUUAAUAGUUAAUAGAUAAAUAAUAAAAAAAUAUAUUAAUAAAUAAUAAUAAUAAUAAAAAAAUAAAAUACCCAUUUGGACCAAGCCCAAUUGAUCCGGGCCCGGAUCAAAUUGGGUGUCUACAUAUGUUUGAAAAGGUUUUUGAGUCUACUUUUCGAUUAAAUAAGCGAAAUUAAAUUUGGAGUCUUUUAUGAAUAAAUAUAUAAUUUUUAUUAAAAGAUAUAUAUACUAUCUGAUAGCAACAUAUGACAUAGAUUGUAAAAGUUAUUACAAUUAAUCUACACGAAAUUACGAGGUGGGCUAUAUAUAGUUAAAAAAUUUAUCGAGUUUAAUUUCUAAUGUACUAAAAAGAUUUUAAUUUUGAGUUGGAUAUCUUAAGAUAGGGUCAUUUUAGUGAAAGUAGCAUAGGCUACUAAAAUUAGUUAGUUAACCCUUAUAUAACUUAGUUGCUUUUAGUAUUAAUGGUCUUAAAUUGGAUUAAUUAAUUUUUGUUAUAUUGAAAUGAUUUUGAAUAGCCCAUUAAUUAUUUUGGGGGAAAAACUAAGUGGUGGAACCAAAAGGAAAUAAGUAGAAUCUUACACAUUUUGCUUAUUUUGAAACUUAUGUAUAUAUGUAUGUUUCUAAAUAAAUGAGAUUUAUUUCUUUAUUUUCGAUAUAAGAAAAUAGGCUGAGCAUAUGAUUAUUUUACGUUUUGCUAUAUAAAUGACGGAUCAUGUUUAUAAAUGAAAUGAGAAAUUGAUUUAUGCUUAAUGAAUGAUUUUAUAAUAGCUACAUAUUUUACAUCUUGAGAAGUGGGAUUAUCGAUACCAAAACUAGCUAUACUACCCUAGCUAACGGAUUAUAGUAGUUAAUAUAGUCACGAUCAAAUGGCACUACUAGUGGGUCAUAGUAGUUAGUGUAAAGGUUUGGCCAGCAGAUUAUAAUAGUUAGUAAAGAUCAUAAGGAUAAAAUUAUCAAUAUUUCCAAUGUUACGGAUUAUAGUAGUGAUCAUUGUUAAUGAUAAAGUAAUGAUAAUGAUGAUUUAUGAUGAUGAUGAUUUUAAAGAUUGAUUCAUGAUUUGAUUUAAUUACGAUAUUUGAAUGGUAACAUAUUUUGGAAUGAUUUAUGAAUUGAUCUAUUUUGAUUUUGAUUUAUGAUCUACAAAAUAUUUGACAUAAUGUUGAUUUUUGAAAUAUUUUGAUGUAUUAUUUGACAAAUGUUUCGAAUUAUCUAUAUGAUAUGUAUGAAACCGAUGUUUGAUCCGAUAAAGUGCAUGAUCCUAUACUAGAUUAGCUGGAAUUUGUUCAUUCUCUUUUUACCUUUUCUUUACACAUGAGUAACUGAUAAGUAUAUUUAGUCUUACUAAAAGCUAGAAGAUCAAUUUGGAAAUAUUACUUGGACAUUAGAAAUAUUGUUAGCUAGUGAGAUCUUAUGAAAUUAUUUUAUAUGUUUUUUAUUAAUUAACCUUUGAUAUAUAGAGAUGUAUCACUAGUUAGAUUAAAUUUAUGAAUUUUACUUGGCAAAUUAUUUUUAUUAAAGAAUUUUAAAAUGAUUAAGAGAAAAAAUUUCGUAUUACUUUAAAGUUUUAUUUGAAGAUAAUAUAACGGUGUUACAUCUUAGUUUUGGGGCAUGACACCAUUAUUAGACAAGUCUUGACCAGAUUGGAUUACGUAUCAGCCAAUUUGUCAGGCAUUGCAACAGAUUUCAGGUAAUUGGAGAGUCUGCAAACAUGACAGGCUUGAGCUAGUUUAAUUUCUGCUUUUGCUUUGUGAGACUAUUCCAAUGAAGUGAGGAAAGAUAGAUAAAUUUGAUUAUGAACUCGAAUCCAUUUUUGAUAGUAUAGUUAGACUCUGAAAGGGAGGAGGUUAAGAUUCAAAUCUUCGUGAAACCUCCUUCGAGAUGGAAACUUGGGAAGGAGAGCAGCGACUCGUUUGGCACUUUUCAAAUAUGAUGCAUACUGAAGGAUGACAGGAGUAUCAUUCUUUCCUGCAUCAAUUUUGUCACGGUCCAAGCUUAUUGUCUGAAAAGCACUAGCCAAAGGCAAGACAUGGAUACCGUGACUAUUCUCCUUUCCUACCAGGUCCUUAAGCGCCUUCUUCUUGAAAGUCCAGCUGCCAGUUCUCAGGUUGAAAUGGUAUAGAGGAAGAAAUCGUUGGCCAUAGAUGGCUACGAACUCCAACGCCGCAAGAAUGUAUUCAAACUCCUCAUUUGACAUGUAGUAAGGAAAGCUGACUCUCGUCCAUCCAGGUUUUGCUCCUAUGUAGCCCUGCAAUCAAACUUUGCAAUUGGCAUUAGAUAAGUUGAAUUAUAUUUUACUUCUCUUCAUUUGGUCAAAAAAGAAAAAAAGGAAAAUUUUGUACUGAUACCCUUUUAAUAGCUUCUCUGAACGCAAGGGAUCGAGUCUGAUCAAUAUCAAGCAAACUGUGGCCAUAAGGUCCAGCACAAGCACACCCACCUCGAGCUUGGAUGCCAAACAGAUCAUUUAGGAUGGUUGCAACAAAAGGGCCAUGGAGAGGUUUAUCCCUCUUGUUCCCAGUCUCUCCCCACAUGAAAAGUCCCCUACCCUUUUCCUUUGCCUCGUCAACAUUGUUACCAUCGUUGGUUGUGGAGUAGAUGAGGAAAGACAGUAUGGCUUGUCUCUGGGUCUCGGUGCUUGCAUUUCCUAAAACCCUUAUGUUUUGGUUUGGGAGAAGCCUCUCCAAUGCUUGAUUUAUGUACGACUUCUCCUGCUUUGCAAUCACUUCAUAACCAAUAUAUUCUUUUACCCAAAAAGUCAAUGCUGCUCUAACAAUCUGAAUUAUUUGAGGAGUCCCUCCAUUUUCCCUUUCUUCUAUGUCACUUGCAUAUAUUGUGUCCUGCAAAAUAAAUACCCCAUUUCGCCACAUUUUAAAUGCAUACCUGCUUCCCUAAAUGCUGGGGAAUGAAUCUGAUUAAUAUCAUGAUAACUUAUCAUUUUCUAGAGUAUUUUUCUACUGGCACUGUCGUGCAUUCAGAAAUUUGGUUGGAAAUCUCUUUUCUUCUAAAAUUGUAAUUAAAAUAAAAUUUUUUUAGAGACACUUAUCAUUCACUAGUCUAUGUCUAAACCCGCUCCAUCUGAAUCAGGAAUUUAUUUCUAAACUCCAAAAAGCCUGACAGCUACCUAAUCAUUCUUUAUGUCGUCCAGCCGAAGAAAGAAACCGAAAUUUCUUACAAAAUGGGAUAUAUAAGCAAGAAUAAGAAAAAGAUAAAGAAAAUACAAAUUUCCAUUUUAUGGUAGAGAGGUGAACAAAAAAUAAAAUCUUUCAUCUAUUAAAUUGAAUUAAUCUGAACACAAAAAUAUAAUAAAAAUCUCUUCAUUUAUUAUCAAUUAAUUUUAAAUUUGAGAGUGAUUACCUGUUCAUUGAAGCCAUUGACAUAAUUAACAGUUCCACCUCCGCAAGUUGAUGGAGGAGAAGAUCCCAGCCGGUAGAGAGCCUUGCUCAUUAAAAGGAUGCCGGGCGUUCCCGGGCCACCUAGAAACUUAUGUGGGCUUAGGAAAAUGGCAUCAUAUCCAUCAAUCUCCCCUGACCUCAUAUCAAUCUCCACAUAAGGACCACUAUCCACAAAAACAAAAUGAUAAGCACAAUCACAAAUCAACUUCUCAUUGCUUUAUAACAUUAACAUAAUACAUAAACUUGGCUAAUAAUUAAUUGUGAGAUCUGUUAUUAAAAUAUUAAACUUUUAAUUUUAACAAUCAAAGUUUAAAUUCUGACAACCUCGAAUAUAAAAGCUUGACAACAAAAAAUGAAAAUUCUUACUGUGUACCUUGCUGCAAAAUCAAAGCAAACAAAACCUCCGUACUCAUGAAGAAGUUUGGCAAUCUCUCGAGUAUCUGUUUGAAUCCCAGUCACAUUACUACAAGCUGAAAAGGAGCCAAGCAAAGGCCUAUUGGCGUAUUUAUAGAGCUCAAGCUGUUUUCUUAGUGCUUCAAUGUCUAUGAACCCAUUCUCAUCUAAACCAAUCUCAACAACUUCAGCAAGGCUUUGACGCCAAGAAAGCAAGUUGGAGUGUUGCUCGUAAGGGCCAAUAAAAACUACCCAUCGAUACUCAUUAGGUAAGCAAUUUAUUACCAUGUCCCUCAAAAUUGAUGGUACCGUAAUCCCCAUAACUUCUUGUAGCCUUUUAAUAGCAGCCGUGGUGCCUGAGCCACAAAACAGAAUUGCAUCAUCUUGACCGCCACCUAGGCUUCUUUUAAUGUAGUUUGACGCUUCAUGCACCAUUUUCGUCGUCCUGUGCCCCACGUAACUGUCAGACGUGUGAGUGUUACCUACGCACGAACCAACCAAGAUCAGCUGACAAAUACUAAAACACAAAAAAUAUAUCUAUAUAUAUAUAUAUAUAUAUUAUACUCGGAAAUGACGCCAUCACUUUUGUUAAUUAAAUCAGAGUAUCACAAUUGAAGAUCAGAAGAAAAAAAACCUUUACCGUAGAAUGGCAGAACAUUGGUGACGAUGAAGUUUUCGAUAUAGUGAAAAGAGCGACCCGAUGCAGUAUGAUCAGCAUAAGUAAGUUUUCUAGUUCCAAAAGGAGAGUCAAAUUCUGCAUCACCACCAGUGAUUUGAGAUCGUAGCCAAGACAGCUUUUUCUCGGUGGAGUCAACCUUUGGCACAUCCAUCUCUAGAGCCCUGAAUGAUUCCGAGCCAUGGAAGAGUUUGCUGGAAACAUAGGAACGGUAUGUUGAUCCUGGUGACUUAUGCCUGUCCCUGGUUGAAGUCUUACUAUCAUUUGCUGCCUUCAAUUGCAGGGCUUCCGUUGUUUCUCUAAACAUGGGUUGCUCAAACUCCAUUUCCCACCUGGAAACAAAGAUUAGUGGCUGUUUUUAUUGUUGUUGUAGCUUAUGACAGGAGAAAGAAUGGAAAAAGUAGUUGUAGAAGAAGAAAAAGAUAAGAAUGAGGGUAAGGAAGGCAGACUUGGUUAUUUAUAUACUAUUAAAAUACAAAGUAACCUUUUGACACGGUUUCAUCUUUUUAAUUAAUAAAACAAAAAGACAAAGUUUUAGGCGUGAGGGGGGUUUGACUCCGAAACCAUGGCCUCUACACACCAAUAAGAAAAAUAUUGCUGUCUCAGAAACAAUGGGAUCUCUAAAAAGGAUUGAAAAAAAAAAAAAAACCUACAGAAAAUAGUAAGCCUAUGUUUGGAAUAUGUUAUUCCUUGGAGUGUAAGAAUUUCCAUAUUUCUCAUUCCUCUCCCUAAAAUUUGAUUAUGGAGUAUCAAACAGCCCAAGCAAUUGUUAGAAAAACAUUGAACCUUUCCUGAUCUACUUGGUUUGGAACGUGAUGUAUCCAAUCUGCCGUAUUAAUAAAGAGAGCAUUGCUAUUUGGAGGUGUCAAUAAUAUACCCGUACUCACGAGUUAUUCAUUUUAUAAAUUAGAUUACUUAAUUGAUAAAAAGAAUGACAAUUUUGGUAUCUCAUUAUAAUUUUCACGGAUAGCUAUGAUUCCGAAAGAGUAAAAUGUGUAAAGAAAGCAAAGAAUUUGAUUGCUUUUAAACUUAGUAUGAUUUUGGCAAUAUGCAUGAUAAUUUUAUUAAUGAUUAUUCAUCAUUAAGUAACAUUUAUGAAUUAAAAUUAAAUUUUGAUUUAUUGAAAAAGUAUAAAAAAAUCAGUUAUAAAAAAUAAAUGAAAGAAUGAAGAAACAAACAAACGGAUCAAAUAAAAAAAAUAAAAAGAGAACCAAUACAAAAUAAAAGUAGUGAAAUAGAUCUUCAAACCAAUACUCCACCACAAUAAAGGCUAUUCAUUUGUAUUUAUGAUGAAGUGGCAUAUUAAAAAUAAAUAAUUUAAUUUAAUUAAGAAUGAUUUAAGAUAAAUAAUAAACAUUUGAUUACUAAUUGAUAUAAUUUUAACUAUAGAAGGUAAAUAAUACGUUCUCUUUAAGGUAAUGUUGUUCUUCCAAAAUAGUUAAAUAUAAAAAUACCCAUUUAUUAUGCAUUUUUUUUAUCAUUUGCACCCAAAAAAAUAAAAUAUUAGUUUGGCACUCUAAUUUCAUUAUUUCAUCACUUUGUUAUCGGAGACUAGCGUCGUCAGUCAAGUUUAUUGAUGUGGUAUAUAACACUCGAUAAGGAUAUUAACAUAUGCUAAGAAAAGCUAAUCAAUGUCAAAUCAUCAAAAUUACAUCUGAAUUUAAAGAAAAUUCUAAAAAAAAUUUAAAAUAUUUUUUAAAAAAUAUUUAGCUUCUAAAAAAAUUAAUUUUAAAACCAAAACUAAAAUUUUUAAAAAUUUUUAAAAAAUUACCAAAACUUAAAAAAUUCAGAAAAAUCUCAAAAUUUUAUUAGGAAAAUAAAAAACUUUUCAAAUUUUCAUAAAAAUCAUAAUUUUAGUAAACAUAAAAGUUUUCAUAAAUUUAAAAAAAAUCUCUAAAGCUUAAAAAAAUUGAAAGUAAAAGAUCUAAAUUUUUUUGAAAAUAUCUAAAAAUUUUAAAAUAAUUGUAAUUCUUGUAAAUUAGGAAAAUUCUUCAUUUUUUUAAUCUUACAAUUUUAAUUUUCUUAUAUAUUUUGUGAUUUUUUACAUUUUUUUAAAUGUUUAUGGAUUUUUAUUAAAAUUUUAAGUUUUUUAUUUUAUAUUUUUCAAAAAAAUAUUAACUUUUUGUAAAUUUCUUAGAAUAUUUCAUAUUUUUGAAUUUUUUUAAUUUACUCAAAAUUUUUGAAAAUAUUUUAUAAAAUUUUAGAUUUUAAUAAAAAUUUGAUAUUUUUUUAAUUUUCAAAUUUUGUCAAAAAAGUCCAGAUUUUUUAUUAUUUGUAAACCUCUUUUUUAAUUUUUUAGAAUUUUUUUGGUUAUUUUUUAAUUUUUUAUCAAAAUUUUGAGAUUUUAUGAAUUUUUUUAUGUUUUGAUAUUUUUUAAAAUUUUAUGUUCAAAUAAGAUUUCAUAUUUAUUUAAUUUUUUUAAUUUUUAAAAAUAUUUUAGACUUUUAAAUUUUGUUGAAAUUUUUUACUAUUAAUGUGGUAAUUGAUGAUGUGGCACUACUGAACUUUUUGAUACAUGUCAGUAUCUUAUUAGAUGUUAAUGCCAUGUUGACAAAUUGAGUAAUUGCUUUAGUACGAGGUAUCAAAGUAAAUGGCGAAAUGAAAGUUAAAAAUCCAAAUUGAUAAUUUUGUUUUUGAAAGUACUAAACUGACAGAAAGUGUAUAGUACAUGAAAUAUUUUUAUGUUUAACUUUUCCAAUCAUGAAAAGACCUAAAAGGAGACUUGAAAUUGUUAUACAUGUAAUCGAUAAUCAUUCCUUAGUGUUGACCUUUAGAGUUCAAAGGAUGUCUCAAACCCAAAUAAUUUUUGGGUUUUUCCUACAUGUAAUAAUAAUAUUAAUUACCAAAUUAUUGCUUAAUUUGAAAAAAAAAUGACAUUAAUAUAAAGAUAAAUGUACAUAAAAGAGCAGUAACUGUAACUCGUAUAAAAGUAAAAAAAAAAAAAAAAGGUUAUCUGAACCUAUUUUAAUUGAAAACCCUUGAAGCCUCCUCAUCAAACACUUACUAGACUAAAGGUUUACAAAACCUCUAAACCAGAUUGAUCUAGUAAGAUGUGUAAGUUUUACAUUUAAGUGAUCACAUUAAAUUAUUUAAACUCUCAUGCUUAUCUUGUAUUAAGAGUAAACACAUCAACCAAUUUUAUUAAAUUAUUAAAACUAACUAUUAAUGGCAGCCCACUUAUAAAUUAUUCUCGCUCUAUAUCCUAAUAAGACAUCAACGGGGAGUGUAUAAAGCAAAAAUGAAGACUAUAUAAAGAGCAAUGGUGGUGGAAAGAUUGUUUUAUAAACAAAAAAUUUGGAUGUUGAAGCGGUCUUCAUAAAAGACGACUUUCUGUGUUAGAGUGGUUCCAUUAAAAUAGUAUACUAAGGUCAUAUUUGAUACAUAUAAUUAUUAAUAGAAUAUGAAGAAUAUUCGUAGGUUUGCAAUGAGGAUUAAUAUCCUCUUGUAUAGGAUUAUUCAAUCAUCUCAAGUAGAAAGGAUAAUUUUUAAAUUUAUAGAUUAAACUUACUGGUUCAAUUAAUACUCUUAAAAAUUACUUUAAUAAUUUAAAUUGUAUAAACUUUGAAUAAGGAAUUUUUGACCAAUAAAUAAAAUUAUCCUAUCCUAAUCUUUACAUAUAGCAAACACAAAACAAAAUGACAUUAUUUAAUCUAAUUUUAUUUAUAAUAUCAUUGUACCCUAUCAAGUUAUAAUCUUAUGUACCAAACAUGGCAUAAGAUUAUAUAUCUAUGUAUAUUGAUAUUAUUUGUUAUUUUAUAACUAAGCUUUUGCGAUUCACAUAUUGUGAGGGGUUUCUGUGACAACUUUUUAAAAGGCUAUUUGGUGUGAUUGCAUAUACAUGACAUCAUACAUGCUAAUAAAGGAUUAGGAUAGAGCGGUAUAUUCGAAUUCACCCAUAAGGUACUGUGUGAAUUGAAUUCCUUAAUUCUUUUUAUUCGUGAUCUAGAUUGGUGGAUUAUAUUACAAAAUGGUGGUGUAGCAUAAUGAUUUUAUGUUGUUUUAUAGCUAUUAUUGUUCAUUUCUUCAAACAUCAGUAAAUAAGAUUGAAGAACAGGUGCAUUGUCCUAAAACCAAAUGAACUUGAGUAAAAACCAUCAGCUCUAGGGAUUUUCGAAGAACUUGGAUGUCACUUUGUUUAUUGAAAACCAAAUGAUGGAAAGAAAUAGGAAGGUAGUAUCGAAAUUAGGAAUAACCUUUAGUUUACAAUAGAUAAGUUAGUUGAUUUUGUCUGUGUACACUCGGGUAUACUAUUUUUUAUUUAUGUUAAUGAGCCUCACACAAAUCUUCAAUUUGGUUGACUUUAGGACUAAUAUUAGGUUCUGGAAGUCUAGAAUGACUAUUGAAUAUAUAAGGUGAAGAAAUCUAAAUAUUCAAUAUUGAAAUUAUUUUAUACCUUGAUCUUAGCAUAUGAUAUUGGAAGUAGUUUACUAAAAUUAGGUAAGUUAUAUUGAGACAUUGAUAUUUCAAUUGGCUAUAUGCUAUGCCUUUUUCAUAUUUUUUUUAUCCUAAAGAUUGAAGGAGAAAUUUUAUUUUUGGAUGAGAUGCUAUGAUUCGCAAAAGUGAAUUAAAAUGGAAUUUGUAUUAAUGGAUAAAUUAUUACUUUAAGUAUUAUAUAUUGUUGGAAAGCUUGCUGAAUCUAUUUUUCAAUGAAACAAACGUAAGUUGAAUCAGAGUUUUCUAUUAAGAGUUAUCUAAUUUUUACUUAAUGAUAUGUAGACUGCUUGACAGCAGUAGCAAUAAGGAAUUACAAAAUUUCUCUGAAUUUUUAUACAAUGAAUUACGAAUUGAGCCAUACAUGUUUAAAAAGGUUAUUGAGUUUAUAUUCCAAUGAAACAAGCAGAAUUGAAUUUGGAGUCUUUUAUGAAUAAAUAUAUCAUUUUGAUUACAAUAUAUACAUGCUAUCUAGUAGUAGCAUAUGACAUGGAUUGCGAAAAUUAUUACAAUUAAUCUACAAUAAAUUACGAGGUGGGCCAUAUAUGUUGUCAUAACAUCUAGAUCCGGGGAUCCUUUGCUAGAUAUUGUCUUUAGGAGUGAUCAUUAAUCUUUUUUAUCUAUGAGCGAUUGGUCAUCUAGGGAAUUUAUCCUUUUAAAGAACACCUAAGCCUAAGGGUCCCUAAAAGAAUAGUUUCAUGUUUACUAAUCAGAACAGGGUUCAAGAGUACGGUUAUGUGUGAAAAAGGUUAUAACACCCUUACAACGCCCAUCGAAAGAUGGUACCAGCUUAAUUUUAUGUUAUCCAAUAAGUUUUAAAAAUUUACUAGAUAAUUAAUUAUUAGAAAUUAUUCUCAAUUGACUAUAAAACUUUUAGUAAAAAAUUAAAAAAAAAUUUUCACCCAAAGAGUAUGCAAGGAAACUACUGUUUCACUUGCAGAAGCUCUAUCGUCAGAUUAUUUAACAUUAAAGAAAAUUCAAAAAGGAAAAGAAAUAAAAUGGGAAAAAAGAAUAAUAAUUCAACUUUAGAUAUAAAUCUUUCUCUUCAAAAACUUAUUACUUUUGUAUAAGAAAAAUUGAUACUUUUAACUUUUCCUCAAAAGAAUUUGAGAGUUUCUAUUUUAAGGACAAUUGAUACUUUCAACUUUUCCUUAAAACAUUUUUUUUAAGAAAAAUUGGUACUUCUAACUUUUUCCCAAAAUAUUUUUCUGAAACUUUAAUUUUGAGGAAAAUUGAUACUUUCAACUUUUCUUCAAAAAUAUUUUUUUUAAAUUUAUUUUUAAGAAAAAUUGAUACUUUUACCUUUUCCUCAAAAAUAAUUUUUAGAAAAUUAUUUUCAAGGAAAAUUGAUACUUUCAACUUUUUCUCAAAAAUAUUUUUUUAGAAUUUUAUUUUAAGAAAAUCAUUAAAAAAUAAAAAUAAAAAUAAAAUAAGGAAUACAAAAUUAUUCUAAUCUAAUCAAUAAAUAAUAAUAAUAAUAAUAAAUAAGAAAAAAAAAAUUUUGGAACAGCUCGGCUUGAGAGAUAGAAGUGGUUUAAACGUGAGGCUCAGCUAGAAACGGCUCGAUUGGGCUGGGCUAGGGUCUAGGUAAAAAUGCGGGUCGCUAAUCGGGUUGGUGCUCGGGUUGAGUCACCCGAUUUCAAAACGUGCUGAUCUUCUGGGAAUAGUAAGGCUAAAACGACAUCGUUUUCAGUCGGUAUAAAAGGCUUCAACCUCUGUUUUUUUACAGAUUGCUUCCUUCUUCCUCUUUUUUUCUUUUUUUUUUCUCCUCCUUCUCUCUAAAUAGAAUCCAAAUCUCAGUUGAAUAUCUGCUGAAAUCUGAAAAAAAACAGGUCAAAAACUUCGAAGUUGGCCGAAAAUCUCGCCAAAAAAGUUGAAUCUUACCGAAAAAUUUCACUGGAUUCUGAAAAAUUUUUAGAAAUUUUUAGAAAAAAAAUUCUAAAAUUCUAAAAUCUUUCCCAUAAAUUCCUAACACUGUUUCUAACGCACCAGAACUUUUUUUAACCUCUGUUUCCUCUCUGUGUAUUUUUUGAUCUUUUUGUGUGCUCUCUGUGGACCUAUUUAUAAGGAUUGAUCAGAAGAGUUUCUGAUCAAUCCCAACUCCUUCUGGGAUUUUGAUUCAAUCUUUGAAUCCAAUCCCAAUCCUGCUAACCUCUAAUUUCACGGCCAAAUCCAAUUUUUUUAUCCUAAUCCUAUCCGAAAAUCAAUCAAGAUAAAACAAAAAAAACACAUAUAAUAAUUAAUAGAUAAAUAAUAAAAAAAUUAUAUUAAUAAAUAAUAAUAAAAAAUAAAUAAAAUGGGCUUACCCAUUUUGACUAGGCCCAAUUGAUCCAAGCCUGGACCAAAUUGGGUGUCUACAUAUUUUUGAAAAGGUUUUUGAGUCUAUUUUUCGAUUAAACAAGCGAAAUUGAAUUUGGAGUCUUUUAUGAAUAAAUAUAUAAUUUUUAUUAGAAGAUAUGCAUACUAUCUGAUAGCAACAUAUAACAUAGAUUGCAAAAGUUAUUACAAUUAAUCUACACGAAAUUAUGAUGUGGGCCAUAUAUAGUUAAAAAAUUUAUCGAGUUUAAUUUCUAAUGUACUAAAAAGAUUUUAAUUUUGAGUUGGAUAUCUUAAGAUAGGGUCAUUUUAGUGAAAGUAGCAUAGGCUACCAAAAUUAGUUAGUUAACCCUUAUAUAACUUAGUUGUUUUUAGUAUUAAUGGUCUUAAAGUGGAUUGAUUAAUUUCUGUUAUAUUGAAAUGAUUUUGAAUAGCCUAUUAAUUAUUUUGAGGGAAAAACUAAGUGGUGGAACCAAAAGGAAAUAAGUAGAAUCUUACACACUUUGCUUAUUUUGAAACUUAUGUAUAUAUGUAUGUUUCUAAAUAAAUGAGAUUUAUUUCUUUAUUUUCGAUAUAAGAAAAUAGGUUGAGCAUAUGAUUAUUUUAUGUUUUGCUAUAUAAAUGAUGGAUCAUGUUUAUAAAUGAAAUGAGAAAUUGAUUUAUGUUUAAUGAAUGAUUUUAUAAUAGCUACAUAUUUUACAUCUUGAGAAAUGGGAUUAUCGAUACCAGAACUAGUUAUACUACCCUAGCUAACGGAUUAUAAAAGUUAAUAUAGUCACGAUCAAAUGGCACUACUAGUGGGUCAUAGUAGUUAGUGUAAAGGUUUGGCCAGCAGGCUAUAAUAGUUAGUAAAGAUCAUAAGGAUAAAAUUAUCGAUAUUGCCAAUGUUACGGAUUAUAGUAGUAAUCAUAGUUAAUGAUAAACUAAUGAUAAUGAUGAUUUAUGAUAAUGAUGAUUUUAAAGAUUGAUUCAUGAUUUGAUUUAAUUACGAUAUUUGAAUGGUAACAUAUUUUGUAAUGAUUUAUGAAUUGAUCUAUUUUGAUUUUGAUUUAUGAUCUACAAAAUAUUUGACAUAAUGUUGAUUUUUGAAAUAUUUUGAUGUAUUAUUUGACAAAUGUUUCGAAUUAUCUAUAUGAUAUGUAUGAAACCGAUGUUUGAUCCGAUAAAAUGUAUGAUCUUAUACUAGAUUAGCUGUAAUUUGUUCAUUCUCUUUCUACCUUUUCUUUACACAUGAGUAACUGAUAAGUAUAUUUAGUCUUAUUAAAAGCUAGAAGAUCAAAUUUGGAAAUAUUACUUGGACAUUAGAAAUAUUGUUAGCUAGUGAGAUCUUAUGAAAUUAUUUUAUAUGUUUUUUAUUAAUUAACCUUUGGAUAUAUAGAGAUGUAUCACUAGUUAGAUUAAAUUUAUGAAUUUUACUUGGCAAAUUAUUUUUAUUAAAGAAUUUUAAAAUGAUUAAGAGAAAAAAUUUCGUAUUACUUUAAAGUUUUAUUUGAAGAUAAUAUAACGGUGUUACAUCUUAGUUUUGGGGCAUGACACCAUUAUUAGACAAGUCUUGACCAGAUUGGAUUACGUAUCAGCCAAUUUGUCAGGCAUUGCAACAGAUUUCAGGUAAUUGGAGAGUCUGCUAACAUGACAGGCUUGAGCUAGUUUAAUUUCUGCUUUUGCUUUGUGAGAAUAUUCCAAUGAAGUGAGGAAAGAUAGAUAAAUUUGAUUAUGAACUCGAAUCCAUUUUUGAUAGUAUAGUUAGACUCUGAAAGGGAGGAGGUUAAGAUUUAAAUCUUCGUGAAACCUCCUUCGAGAUGGAAACUUGGGAAGGAGAGCAGCGACUCGUUUGGCACUUUUCAAAUAUGAUGCAUACUGAAGGAUGACAGGAGUAUCAUUCUUUCC
rnacentral:lncRNA from 1 species